GCCAGUGCUUCAAGAACGGCGCUACCGCCAUGGCGAUGCGCCUUUUCUCCCGGAAGAUCCUUGGUGCUGCCGGCUCGCUGCACCGUUUGGAACCAAAGGUUCCGGCAUCCGUCCAGUACCUUACAGACCCGAGCAGCUUUCCUUGGGACACCACAGCUUUUGCAAGAGGCUGGCUUUGGGGAGCCAUCCCGGUAAAACCCGGAAGCUGCUGCUCCUUGGUGGUUCUCAUCUCAUCCCAGCUGUCAAGACAGCUGGUUGAAUAAUACUUAAAUAAAAUGUUCUGAGGAUGGCUAUAUGCUGAGUCUUGCUGGUGAACCACUGAGCCAUGGACACAACACGACAGCCAGCUGACAGAAUGAGGGCUACAGAUUCUCCCACGCUCUCACUUCUCCAGUGCUGGGGAUUUUACAGAAAAUAUUAGAAAUGACCCACGAAGCCCAUGAAGGAGAAGCCUGCUAACACGCAGCUGAGGAAAUUCCUAUUUGUCAUAAACACGAACAACAAGAAGUUUCUAAGUUUUUAUGGAAUGGGAUGACUACGACAUUUCUUCUCCUCUGAAACACUGCUCAUUAACCUAGCCAAGGAUUCCCUCAUCCCUCAUGUGUUCACAGUGCCAAGACCCCAUAUGUCCACAACCUGGGUACUACAAAAGGUGCUAUGUAUGUAUCUGUUCCCUAAGCCCUCAAGCAACCCCAUAAAGUAAUAAUUACUCCAUUGUAUUGGUUCAUUCAUGAGUUCACAGGUUUAAGGAAUGUCAUACCAGUUAAGUUACAGAGGUAGUAUAUGAACCCUCAUUCUAAGGCCCAAGUGCACCUGCAAGUUUAAUGAGGCCUUGAUGGCAGUCAUCCACCCAGCAUAGGUUCUGAAAGCUGACAGUGUAAGUACUUACUAGGCUCUUUGAGACGUAGCUGUAUGGCAGGGCUAUCACUCUUGUCUCG